rnacentral:rRNA from 1 species
UACAGAGGUCUCAAGCGUUGUUCGGAUUCAUUGGGCGUAAAGGGUGCGUAGGUGGUGGGGUAAGUCGGAUGUGAAAUCCCGGGGCUCAACCCCGGAACUGCAUUCGAUACUGCCUUGCUCGAGUACUGGAGAGGAGACUGGAAUUUACGGUGUAGCAGUGAAAUGCGUAGAUAUCGUAAGGAACACCAAUGGCGAAGGCAGCUCGCUGGGACGUGACUGACGCUGAGACGCGAAAGCGUGGGGAGCAAACAGG